UACGGAGGGUGCAAGCGUUAUCCGGAUUCACUGGGUUUAAAGGGUGCGUAGGUGGGUUGGUAAGUCAGUGGUGAAAUCCCCGAGCUUAACUUGGGAACUGCCAUUGAUACUAUUAAUCUUGAAUACCGUGGAGGUUGCGGAAUAUGUCAUGUAGCGGUGAAAUGCUUAGAUAUGACAUAGAACACCAAUUGCGAAGGCAGCUGGCUACACGAAUAUUGACACUGAUGCACGAAAGCGUGGGGAUCAAACAGGAUUAGAAACCC
rnacentral:rRNA from 1 species